AGGUGGCUGUACUUAGCGACAGCAGAAUGCCAGAGGUUAAGGUGCUAUUCAGUGUCCUGGAGGAGUAUGUGAAGGAGAGGACAUUCGACGAGGCCAUCCUUGCCUACUAUGAACAUCACUACGUCUGGAGACAUGGAGCCAACGACGACUUGGGAGACUUCUUCAGUCAAUAUUAUAUUGACAAUGAAGUGGAGCAUCUUCGGGACAUGGCCCUUUUCAUCUGCAUGGAUGCCUAUCGGAAACAUCUUGAGGAGCU